rnacentral:misc_RNA from 1 species
AACUUCGGACAGUUGAGGUUUGUUACUCUGAUUCUCCCAUUGUUUAUUAUCUUAAAGAAGUUUCUUUUACAUAUUUCCUUUACUUGACUGUUGGUUAAGUGUUUUUUGUUUCUAUGUUUUUCAUUCUGUAGUUGUUGCAAUUUGCCAUAACCCUCUAAAAUGGUUAUAAGUGGACAUUGAUUUAGUCAAGGAAGACUAGGUUUAGGAAUUAUUUUGAUUGAAUUUUUCAUUAUAAAAUAAUGAAGUCUAGGUUUCUAUUAUUUAGGAAACUUAAUUAUUUUGGAAUAGUUAAAGAGUUCUAUUAGGUUUAG